rnacentral:rRNA from 1 species
CCUACGGGGGGCUGCAGUAAGGAAUAUUGGUCAAUGGACGCAAGUCUGAACCAGCCAUGCCGCGUGGAGGAUGAAGGUCCUCUGGAUUGUAAACUUCUUUUAUUUGGGAAGAAACUCCCGAUUUCCAUCGGGAUUGACGGUACCAGAUGAAUAAGCACCGGCUAACUCCGUGCCAGCAGCCGCGGUAAUACGGAGGGUGCCGGCGUUACCGGGAUUCACUGGUGUGUAGGGGUGCGUAGAAGUCAAGGUAGAAAUCGCCGGGCUUAACCCGGAAACUGCCAUUGAUACUAUUUGUCUUGAAUACUCUGGAGGUGAGCGGAAUAUGUCAUGUAGCGGUGAAAUGCUUAGAUAUGACAUAGAACACCCAUUGCGAAGGCAGCUCACUACGGAAAUAUUGACGCUGAGGCACGAAAGCGUGGGGAUCAAACAGGAUUAGAUACCCGAGUAGUC